rnacentral:tRNA from 1 species
GCGGCUGUAGCUCAGGUGUAGAGCAUGUGCUUCACAUGCACAAGGUCCUGGGUUCCAUCCCCAGUGCCUCCA